GUUUGGGUUUGGCUGAGACGAGCAGUUUCCAUGGUUUUUGCAAUUUCUGUUGUAGCAACGAAGCUCCUUAUGCAAUGGAAGGGCUGGGAAGCGUGUGGUCCUCCGGCGAGCCGCGGACGAAGAGGGACGGGGGGAACUGGGGCAGCCCGGAUGGGGGACAGGGCUUAUCCCAAGGUGAUUAACACUGACCUGACUCUGUGACCCUUGCUGGGGACAGCACGCUCGGCAUGGGUUGGAGUGAGGGGAUUGUGCCCUGGGACUCAUCUGUGUCCCCGCCCCAUGCCUGCCUCCUCCUCUUCCUCCUCGUUGCUUCCAGCAGAGGUUUGAGAUGAACAUCUUCUUCAGAGGUGCUUGGGUGUCCUGGUCUUGCAAGCGGCCAGUGUGUGCCUGGAAGACCUGCAUCCAUCCAGCAUCGCUUCGAGGGUGCUUGUGUCUUACCAGUGAGGUGCACGACACUGUGGAGGUGACAUCUGAGGUGUGCAGGGACCUGCUCGAGACCACCACCAUGUUCAGGACACCAUCUCCAUGCAUGCCCACCUAUGAGUGUGGCAGGGCUGUAGACCCACAGAGCUGCUGAAUAACAGAUUUCCACAGGCUGGCCCAUAGACUGUUAACACAUUAAUUAAAAGAAGAAAAGGGACUCGGUCCCAUUAAGCUCACCAUCUGUUUUAAUUAUCCACUAAAGCUCACAGAAAGCUCUGUACACACUAUAAUUGCAUAAUUAAAAUGAACUGUUGGGAGAUAGAUGGCACAGAGAUGACUGGGGAGAGAAAAGCAGUCCUUGCUCCUAUUCUGCUGUCACGAGCAUCGUAAUUAAGAGGGAGCAGCAAAGCAACACCUUUUUGGGCUGAGCUUGUCAUUGCAGAGUCCCUGUUGACUUCUGAUAGCUUUCUGAGGCCAACUGUGUAGUUUCCAGCCUGAGCAGAAGCGACAGCCAUCGUUAAACCCCACUUUGCUGAUAACUGUGAUGAAAGCCCCCCGUGCGGGUCCGAGACGGUCAAACGUUUCUGUGCAUCGCGAGCAAACUCUGCCAACCCCGAGUUGCCAGCCCAACUCACCGCCUGGAUGCAUCUCACCCUGUUGCAGAUAAAACCGACUGUGUCGGAGCUCCUCGCCUGUCUUGUGCCCGUGGGUGGGGGGAGCCCAGCGGAGCCAAGGGAGUUUAUUUGGCAGCUCCCAAAAUCAGGUCGCCAGUUCAUUCAAAAGGAGCAUGUCCAAAGCCUGGCUGGUUGCUCUUGGACAUAAAGCAGGCUGACUUGUUCUCAUGGCAGAGGUUUUCAAAUCCAAAUAUUAGUCUUAAAAAGAAAGAAAGGGAAAAAAAAAAAAAAAAAAAAGUAUAACAAACUUCCUGUGAAUAGCAGUGGGAAUUCUUCACAUUUUCUGUUUGUUUGGGUUUUUUUUGUUUGUGAAGGGGUUUUUAUGCUUGUAUUAUUGAGCUGAUAUUCUCAUAUCAUCUUGCACCUUGUUUUUCCCAGAUCACUGCUCUUUCACAUUCCCUGCAAACCUGAACUCUGGGUUAAUACUUUUCUUUGCCAUUAAACUUCUGAUCUGCACUGAGAAAACGCGAUGAAGUCAUUGCAAAUCCUGAAAACUGGAAAAAGUCGCUCUUGUUUGAAGCUCUCCUGGGGUUAGCCUCUGACAAGAUCCAAAACACAAGUGUUCGUGGACAAAAUAUGUCUCUUGCAAUCUGCCCACACUGGAUCAGGCUAGUAACGAGUUCAUGACAAGCAACGUACUGGAACGUAAUUAGAGGAGAACUCCAUAGCCAGCCAGAACCUUCCAACAUUUUAAAUGUCAGCUCAGAAACACAUUAAUUGUUUGGAAGGAUCUUCCGGAGCCAAGGUAAACUUUGGGGAAUUGGGGUGAUCUGCCAGCACGCCUUCAGAGCAACGAGGUCCUGGUACCAGCUCGCUGCAGUGACUCCUCCUUGGCACGGCCGUGAUGGAUGAUUUCUGUCACAUCCCAUCUCCCAUGGGCCGGUAUUUUAUUAUAAUUUUCCUGGCAGAAAACAAUGGUUUCGUCAAGACUGAGGUGUUUUGCAGGAACAUGGCUGACCCUACUCACAAGGAGAUGCUUUGACUUUUCCUUUAGAGACAAACUUUCCUCUCCAUGACAAGAUGGGUUAUCUUUUUUUAUCAGAGCUGGAAUCAAAGAUCCAGAUCUGUCUCAGUGUCCAGUCCCUCUUUAGAAAUCUGUUUCCAGGGAAAUUUCAAAAUGUUUUUGAAACAAGUUUGCAAACGUGGAGCACAUGCCUAGCAAUCCUGGCAUGUAGCAGCUCCGAACAUCCUACAGCUGAGCAUCCAAGGGAUGGAGAAAAUCCCUCCACCUGCAAUGGUUAAUUCAUGCAAACAAUGCUGAAUUAAACACGUUCCUACUAGAGGCUGACCCAA